rnacentral:rRNA from 1 species
GAAACUUAAAGGAAUUGGCGGGGGAGCACCACAAGGCGUGAAGCUUGCGGUUCAAUUGGAGUCAACGCCGGGAACCUUACCGGGGGCGACAGCAGUAUGAAGGCCAGAUUGAAGGUCUUGCUAGACAAGCUGAGAGGAGGUGCAUGGCCGUCGCCAGUUCGUGCCGUGAGGUGUCCUGUUAAGUCAGGCAACGAUCGAGACCCACACCUUUAGUUGCUACCGAGGAAAUUUUCCGAGGGGCACUCUAAAGGGACUGCCGUCGACAAGACGGAGGAAGGAGUGGGCUACGGCAGGUCAGUAUGCCCCGAAUCCCCCGGGCUACACGCGAGCUGCAAUGGCAGAGACAAUGGGUUCCAACCCUGAGAAGGGACGGUAAUCUCGAAACUCUGCCUCAGUUUGGAUUGAAGGCUGGAACCCCCCCUUCAUGAAAAUGGAAUGCCUAGUAAUCGCGCGUCAUCAACGCGCGGUGAAUACGUCCCCGCUCCUUGCACACACCGCCCGUCGCUCCAUCCGAGUGGGGUUUGGGUGAGGCGUGGUCUUAUUGGCUGCGUCGAAUCUGAGUUCCGCAAGGAGGGAGAAGUCGUAACAA